GACGAACGCUGGCGGCGUGCCUAAUACAUGCAAGUAGAACGCUGAAGGAGGAGCUUGCUUCUCUGGAUGAGUUGCGAACGGGUGAGUAACGCGUAGGUAACCUGCCUGGUAGCGGGGGAUAACUAUUGGAAACGAUAGCUAAUACCGCAUAAGAGUAGAUGUUGCAUGACAUUUACUUAAAAGGUGCAAUUGCAUCACUACCAGAUGGACCUGCGUUGUAUUAGCUAGUUGGUGAGGUAACGGCUCACCAAGGCAACGAUACAUAGCCGACCUGAGAGGGGGAUCGGCCACACUGGGACUGGGACACGGCCCAGACUCCUACGGGAGGCAGCAGUAGGGAAUCUUCGGCAAUGGACGGAAGUCUGACCGAGCAACGCCGCGUGAGUGAAGAAGGUUUUCGGAUCGUAAAGCUCUGUUGUAAGAGAAGAACGAGUGUGAGAGUGGAAAGUUCACACUGUGACGGUAUCUUACCAGAAAGGGACGGCUAACUACGUG
rnacentral:rRNA from 1 species